rnacentral:tRNA from 1 species
GCCUGAGUGGCUCAGUUGGUUGGGUGUCCGACUUCCGCUCAGGUCAUGAUCUCCCGGUUUGUGGGUUCAAGCCCCGCGUCAGGCU